UUGCAUAGCUGAAAUCAAGUUCCUCACUGCUCUACUUUGAUGUGAGCUACCCAACCUUUAUUCUAUGAUUUUGUAUUUAUUUCCACAAGAGACUUGUUGUAAAAACACUUAUGUACAUACAUUUUUACUUAUCUCACAUGUGUACAGGUAAAUAAGUGGGAUUUAAAUCAGGAAUCAAAUACAUUUCCAGUGUUUCAUUCGUUUGAUUUGAUUUAAUUUAUUUAGAUCCAUAUUUCAUACAAAGUGUGAAUGGGCCUAAUGUUGACAUGGACCUCACAGGGUACUAAACUUCGGAACCAUUCCAGGCUUCGUUGAUUGGAUGCUAUUUAUAUUCCCUGUUGUCAAGAGGACCUUCAAAGGCAGGUAGGCAAACUGUCCACUUGAAAUACACAGCUUCGUGUGGUUGUUUAUGGGAGGUGUAUUUACGGUGCUUUCAUGUUUUACAAGCAGAAAUUUAAGCAAUCUGAGGACAAGAGAGUUAGGUAUCCAGAAGGGAACAACACUGCUGAUGAGGCUUCUCCCGGCAACGGAUAUGACACUUUGUGCAUCUGAAGCUACUCUAAUGGCCAUUUCUAUACCACAGCUGAAUGCUGAAUGCAGAGAUAUGGUCUGCAAGUUAUCGCUGUUUUAUCAAAUUGAAAUCAAGUCUGAUGAUUGAGAAGGGAAUUAUUCAGUCCUGGUUGAUGGAUCAACUUUUGCUGAGUUUCUAAUUGCCCAAUCUGAUGAAUGUUCUAAGUUAAGAAGUAAGAAUAUCUAGUUGACAAAUCCAUCAGAAACAAAAGCUGGUACACAAUCAGUGCAUUACUACUACAGUGACUGUAGGAUUCAUGCCUGUGUAAAUGUCAGAGAACCAGACGACGUAUUAAUGCUAGCUGAAGAAUAGAUUGCAUUUACGCUUGCAUUUCAAAUAACUCGUUAGCUUUUAGCCAAACAAUUUCCAUCUCGAAAUGUCCUAUUGAGUUGGAUGUUAAAGGUGAAACAUUACUGGUCGUGAUAUAGAUUUCGAAAUUAUAUAACGUUCUGACAAUCACUUUUUCCUCUUUGCAGUAAGUGGAGAACUUAACUCAGAAUUUAACCAUAAUUCAAAAUGUUGAAAGUUUUGUUUCAUUCCUUGACUGGUGGAUUUAAAAUCUUAUUAUUAUUCAUUUCUAUCAUUCUCACAAAUCUUUAUGGAUGUAAAUCAACACAAUUAUCUAAAAUACAAGGGCAGGAAGUUAACUUGAUUUUCCCUUACCCAUGUGACAGUACAGAAGUCACAUUACAGCAUUCGUACAGACUCGCAUUUUAUCGCUCUAUAGAUGGGUCGUCACUGUCUUUGUCACAAGAUCAGGUACAAAGAUACAAGGUUCAGAAUAGAAAUGACACUGAGAAUUGCUCUCUGAAUUUUACAAUAAGUAAUCUAAAGAGCAUUGAUCAAGGGACAUAUAUUUUGUCUGUAUUCAAGGAUGGGGAGAUACUAGUCGAACAAACACACAGGAUUUGGCUACAGGUUGAUUAUCCUCCUGGUAAAGCAUCAUGUGUUGUGAGUGAAGAUAAGGGUGGAGACUGGGUCUCAAUACACUGUACAGCUAAUGUUGGGAGUCUAUCAGGAGAGUUUGAAUGCUAUCAGGAUGGUGUAUGGAUGCCUCCCCUAAGCGAUCCUACUCAUACCGACACUUUAUUAAAACAGACCAUUCUUAUCAGAAAGUCACAGCCAGUAUUUUGUUGCUCUUCUACUUUGGCUGAAUACAAAGAAAGAUGUGAAUGUAAGGAUACUGAUCUGUUUAUAACUGAUGAUGAUAGCAAUGAUCCUUGCCCUCCUUUAUCAGAAAUUACAACAAUGCCUCUUCCUACCACUCUCACAGAAAACAAUCAAAGUGAUUACUAUUCCACUGAGACAUCCUCCAUUCCAACUAAUAUGGAAACAUGCAACUCCAACAUAUGUGUGAUCAUUCACUCAAUUCUCUUGCCUAUUGAACUUACAUUGCUAUUCUUGAGUUUGUUUUUC